rnacentral:rRNA from 1 species
UGGGGGAUAUUGCACAAUGGGCGAAAGCCUGAUGCAGCGACGCCGCGUGGGGGAUGAAGGCCUUCGGGUUGUAAACCUCUUUUGCUAUCGAACAAGGCCCGCUUAGGGUGGGUUGAGGGUAGGUGGAGAAGAAGCGCCGGCCAACUACGUGCCAGCAGCCGCGGUAAUACGUAGGGCGCGAGCGUUGUCCGGAAUUAUUGGGCGUAAAGGGCCUGUAGGCGGCUUGUUGCGCCUGCUGUGAAAACGCGGGGCUUAACUUCGCGCGUGCAGUGGGUACGGGCAGGCUUGAGUGUGGUAGGGGUGACUGGAAUUCCAGGUGUAGCGGUGGAAUGCGCAGAUAUCUGGAGGAACACCGAUGGCGAAGGCAGGUCACUGGGCCAUUACUGACGCUGAGGGGCGAAAGCAUGGGUAGCGAAAAGG